GCUGAAUUUCAGCUUUUCAUAUAUAAGAGUGAAGUCUCCCCCUAUAUCAUUUAAAUGUUGCCAAUUUGACUUUUUGUGUUACUUCCCCUUUCAUUUAUAAUUCAUUAAAGAUGAAACUCCAAAAAUUUGAGAUAAAACAUGAAUUUCAGGUUAUGUAUCGAGGUGUGAAAGGUGCGUGCCAAAUUCUGAAUUUAUGUGUGCCAAAUUCUGAAAUUUGAUAUAAAUUGUUGAGUUGAACAUUUUCAUUGUUGCAAAUUGCUCCCCCUUGGAUGUAUAUGCUUUCCUAUAUGAUUUUCAAUUUGUUUUACAAAUUAUUUUACUUUCUUUCUUUACUUCUCCCCUUAUUACUCUUUCUUUACUUCUCCUCCUUUUUGUUACUCUAUUUACUUUUAUCUUUACUUCUCCCCUAUUUACUCUUUCUUUACUUCUCCCCCUUUUUGUUAUCAUCAAAUAGGUACAUGGGAAAAGAUGCAGUAAAUAACAACCAUUCAAACUUCAUUGAUCAAAAUAGGAACAUUUGAGUACAUUCAUGUCCAAAAACAAAAAUNN
rnacentral:lncRNA from 1 species